rnacentral:tRNA from 1 species
CGGAAGUGGCUCAGUGGUAGAGCAUCUCCUUGCCAAGGAGAAGGUCGCCGGUUCGACCCCGGUCUUCC